rnacentral:rRNA from 1 species
GACGAACGCUGGCGGCGUGCCUAAUACAUGCAAGUUGAGCGAUGAAGAUUGGUGCUUGCACCAAUUUGAAGAGCAGCGAACGGGUGAGUGACGCGUGGGGAAUCUGCCUUUGAGCGGGGGACAACAUUUGGAAACGAAUGCUAAUACCGCAUAACAACUUUAAACAUAAGUUUUAAGUUUGAAAGAUGCAAUUGCAUCACUCAAAGAUGAUCCCGCGUUGUAUUAGCUAGUUGGUGAGGUAAAGGCUCACCAAGGCGAUGAUACAUAGCCGACCUGAGAGGGUGAUCGGCCACAUUGGGACUGAGACACGGCCCAAACUCCUACGGGAGGCAGCAGUAGGGAAUCUUCGGCAAUGGACGAAAGUCUGACCGAGCAACGCCGCGUGAGUGAAGAAGGUUUUCGGAUCGUAAAACUCGGUUGGUAGAGAAGAACGUUGGUGAGAGUGGAAAGCUCAUCAAGUGACGGUAACUACCCAGAAAGGGACGGCUAACUACGUG